rnacentral:rRNA from 1 species
AUUGAACGCUGGCGGCAGGCUUAACACAUGCAAGUCGAGCGGUAACAGAGAGAAGCUUGCUUCUCUGCUGAAGAGCGGCGGACGGGUGAGGAAUGCCUAGGAAUCUGCCUAGUAGUGGGGGAUAACUUGCCGAAAGGUAAGCUAAUACCGCAUACGUGCUACGGGAGAAAGGCGGGGACCUUCGGGCUUUUCGCUAUUAGAUGAGCCUGGGUCGGAUUAGUUAGUUGGUGAGGUAAUGGCGAACCAAGACCGCGAUCCGUAACUGGUCUGAGAGGAUGCUCAGUCAAACUGGAACUGAGACACGGUCCAGACUCCUACGGGAGGCAGCAGUGGGGAAUAUUGGACAAUGGGGGGAACCCUGAGCCAGCCAUGCCGGGUGUGUGAAGAAGGUCUUAGGGUUGUAAAGCACUUUAAGUUGGGAGGAAGAGCAGUUAACUAAUAUUUGACUGUUUUGACGUUACCGACAGAAUAAGCACCGGCUAACUUCGUGCCAGCAGCCGCGGUAA